UGGGAUUAGAAGUGGAUGUGCCUGAAACUGCAAUUUGAAAUCUCACCAGUUGGUUGGACCCACCACCUGGGACCUAUCCUGUUAACAAGGGACUUCCUAACGCUGUUCAAGUUUGGACGUUGGUCAGCCGAAUCUGGUGAUGAUCUUAGCUACUAUAGGAGGCAUUGAAUCCAGGUGGCCACAGCAGUGAAAACACAGUCUUAACUACUGGACUGCCAAGGAACUCCCUAACUCCAUUUUAAAUGAAGCUUCUGUUUAUUAAUUUUCACACAGAUCUCCAAUUCUAGGAGUGGACUUGCUGGGUCAUCUGCCAUCCAGUAGCCUGAAGUGGUAGUUUGGUGAUCUGAUUUGCAUUUCUCCCUGUACUGCAGGUGGUGAGUAUUUUUUUUCAUGAGUUGGCCAUUUAUUUCUUUUCUUUGGGGAAACGUCCAUUUGGAUCCUUUGCCCAUUUUUUGAACAGAGAUUUUUAUCUGUUUUGUCGACUGAAAAAAAAAAUACAAGUGACCUAGAGGUUGAGAGUUAUGUUUUAUUUGGAGGAAAUUUUUAGGACUUAAGUCCAGGAGGCAGCAUCUCAAGUAACCCUGAGAGAACUGCUUGGAGGAGAGUGGUGUGUGUGUGUGUGUGUGUGUGUGUGUGUGUUUAGGAGUCAGGUUACAUAGAAGUUUUGCAACAAAAGGCAAGUAGUCUGAACGUCCAAAGUAAUUUUGUGAAUUAAAGAAAACCAGGUUAACCCCAAGUUAAGA
ensembl:lncRNA